AAGCUUAAGUCUUAUCUGAUCUGCGUGGAUAUGAAUGAUCCCAUGGGGCUUUGCCUAAGGACAGGAUUUUUGCCUUAGUGUCCUUGGCCAAAACACUGCUUGACCACAUAGUGCUUUGUGUCAUACUGUUUACAGCUUUCCAUUCCAGAGAUGGCUGCAUUUCAAGUGGUAUUUUAGUUUUUUAAAGUACUUUGAGUUUCUUCAGGAUGAAAGAUACUAUAGAAAUGUCAAAUCUUCUUCUCUUAGCUGGACCAACAUAGAAAUAAUAAAUCCUGGCUAAGUUUUUUUGCACAGGAAAAGAUAAUAAAGGGGAGAAAAACCCUGCAGCCAACCCUGCAGUCAAACAGGAAUCAAAAUAUGUUUACAAGAAAGGAAACCACCUGUUAGCUCAGCCUCAGAUAUUUCACCUGACCACAGCUGCAUUUCAUCUGCUUCUGAGAGGAUUAUUGGCUGUUCCUUAAGGAGCUGAUUAAAAGACCUACCUGGGAGUGUUCUUUUGCUUCUGAUAGACUACACAGGCAAAGACUGGAGGUGGAUGUGAAAAUUCCCUGAUUCGUGAGCAGCAGCACUGCAGCUCACCAACCUGUUUCUGGCUAAGUUUCUGGGACACAGGAGACUGGAACCUGCUGGAUUGGAUUGGAAUGGAGCUGCUGUGGGAGCCUGGCAGACAUGCCGCAGAUCUAGUGGAGCCCUAAAUGGGAAUGUCCCUAAAGUUUAAUACCAUCUGAGUUACAGACAACCGAGCAUCUGUAAACUUAUCCCAUCCUUUCAGACCCUCAGGAAGUACCACGACACCUGGGGACACAAGGAUUUCUUCAAGGACAGUUUGCGGCGGGUCAUAGCGAAAAACAAUUCAAGGUUGUUGGUAGCGUUCACAGAGCAGCUGCAGACAUGGAGCACUGCUUGUGGGCUUGAGAAACAAGCACUGACUGGUUGGGGUCACAUUGUAAAGCGGUUUGGGAUGACGAGCAGUGGCUACAGAACUUUCAGAUGUGAAAGGCCACAUUUCUGGACCUGUGUGAUGAGCUUACCCUAGCCCUCCAGCGCAGGGACACCAGAAUGAAAGCUGCAUUGACAGUGGAGAAGCGAAUGGUGGUCACACUUUGCAAGCUUGCAAUGCCAAAUUGCUAGCAGUGAAUGGAAAAUCAUUUUGGAGUUGGAAAAUCAACUGGGGGGACCCGUCAUGCAAGUUUGUAGGGCCACGAAUCAUCUCCUGCUAUGCAGGACCGUGACUUUCAGC